rnacentral:rRNA from 1 species
AAAUUGAAGAGUUUGAUCAUGGCUCAGAUUGAACGCUGGCGGCAGGCCUAACACAUGCAAGUCGAACGGUAACAGAAAGCAGCUUGCUGCUUUGCUGACGAGUGGCGGACGGGUGAGUAAUGUCUGGGAAACUGCCUGAUGGAGGGGGAUAACUACUGGAAACGGUAGCUAAUACCGCAUAACGU